rnacentral:lncRNA from 1 species
AUGGAAGCAUCGCUGUCAUAGCCAUGGGACCUGGAGCCUUCUGGAGCUUGUGCAUCACCCUGUUUUUAGCUUGCUUCUCUGCUGCUUGCCAUGCUUUAUCUGCAUCAUAGAAUCAUAGAAUGGCCUGGGUUGAAAAGGACCUCAAAGAUCAUCUAGUUUCAACCCCCCUGACAUUAAAGAAACUCAGUAGAAGGUUUUCUCGUGUUGGUAGUUCUGAAAUAGAGCCAGGAGAAUUAGCUGUGUUGGAGUCACAACAUGGAGAGAGGGCUGUCAUUGUUUGGAACAGUAGUUGUAUUCUUCUGCAGAAAGCAUCUCACUGGCGUGAUAAUUCCUAGUUAUUUGCAGGUGACUAUCUGUAUAUUUACUGAUUAGAAUGAGAAGUCGUUCCUAUGUUCCAAUAACAGGCAGUGGGCUUGGCCAAAUGGCCAGAUCCCAGUUGGAAGUCGUGACACCAGCUACUAAGGUAUUUUUUUCUGCUUUCAAACAAACAUGGUAAUUUGAAGGAUCCUCAGCGUUUCUUCAGUGCCUUUCAUCCUUUGAUCUCAGAGCACUUUAUUUAUUCAGCCUCCUGGCAAAUUUGCUUGGAAGGGAAGUAUUGAGAGAGAAUAAUUUAUAGGACUUUGUGGCAUGGUGCCAUUUUGUUACAGUGUAAUUGCGCUUGAAAUAUUCAGUAGAACAUUGUUCUUGAGUUAAUGGAGAAGACUGUUGUUGGGCUACAUCCCUUGUGAUUUUUUUUCUUGUUUUGUGAAGCCUUCUUGCUGCGUGUGAGAUAAAUAAAUGAUUAUAUCUGCGUUCUUGAUAGCUGCUAUUGGAAGUGGUAAGCUUCAGUUAAAAUAUUUGUUGUUUUUUUUUUCCCCAAAUAGGGCUAUUUGAUUAGUUUGUCCUUACGUUUUUUCCCUUUCUCUUUAAAUAAUCCUAAAAUCUGGAUACAAAUUGUUUCCCUCUGCAUACCCGCUGGAGAAAACGUCUGUUUCCAUAAAUAACAAAAUGUUGCUGCAUUUUAUUUGUUGUAGGAAGAAAAAUAGCUAGUUGGAGGUGAACAGUUGACUUUAAGAUGAUAAAAAUUAGAUAUUUUUCCCUUUUCUUUUUCUGUUGAAUUUUGUUAGAUAUGACUGUUGAAUUAUGUGACAGUGACUGUUUAUGAUGAUGGACAGUGAUGGACACGACAAGAAGGAAUGGUUUUAAACAAAUACAGGGGAGGUUCAGGUUAGAUAUUAGGUGGAAGUUUUUCCACGCAGUGUGUCACCACCUUCUGUGUGAAAUGCAAGAUUUCGUCUGGAUCUGUUGAAGUCUCCCAUCUCCAGCAUCCCAUUUGUGCAUCUAAACAGUGGACUCAAACUGGUUUCCCAUCUCAUGUUUUAAGGUUGCACCUAUGAAUAAAUUCCAUUGUGGUUUGAGUUUAGUCCAAAAGCUUUGGCAUUACAGAAAAUCAUGAAUGUGAACCUGCCUGGAUGAGAUCUUGCCCACAGGCUCUUUGUAUUACUAAAGAAGUAGCAUCUCAGUGAGGAUGGCUAUGCUGAGUAGGUUAGAGGGUGUUGCCUAACAUCUUUGUAAGUAUCAGUCUGUUCUGCACAGUUGCGUGGUAUUGUUUUCUUUGAUUCCUAGCCAUACACCGGGCAGUUAUCAGCAGGUUACCCUGCUUUCUGUGUAAAGCAGAUGCUCUGCUGAACUGAAGAAUCCCGUGUCAUCAGCCAGAUUUCCUUCAGCCAUAUAGACAGCAUAUCAGUAACGAACCUUAGAAAAUAGGAUGUAUCCUCAUAGCUGAAGGGAGAGAAAAGUCUUUCCAUGGUAGAAGUGGGUACUGACAUUUUUCUUGGCUAAUGUUGGUGCUGAUGCCGCUGGUGGUCUGAUAGCCUUUGAAAAUUGCCUCCUUGAUCUGAUGAGACCUUGUAGGUAAUAUCUAGGUCUUGUGUCUUUGUGAAGUGAAAAGGUUUAUUUUUGUACAACUACAACAGUGUCGCAUAGUUUUAAAAAAAAAACAAGUAUGCAUAUAUAUACACACACAUAAUACUGAUGUUUUUUCUUCAUUGACGAGUUAAAGUAGCAACAGGGGAAUUGCCUGAAGUAGAGCAGCAGUAAAUUAAAUUUAUUUUGCCAUUUCCUAGCCAUUAUGGGCUCGGCUUAACCCCAUCAGUUCCAUCCUUUACUCUGAAUGAAGCACCUGAGCCUUGGAUCCCGAUGAGUGCGUUCUGUAGGAGAGUUAAUUACUGCGGCUCGCUUGGGUAGAACUGAGAGAAACCGUGGUGCUUUGGAGACAGAGAGGCAAACAUACCCUGAAAACCUUACAAACAGAAAGCCACAAUGGAUUUGACUUUCUGGUUUAUUGGUUCCACUGUAAUUGGCUGUAUUUUUGUAAAAAUAACAUCUCCCAUUGUCAGUUUGCAAUAGAAAAGGUGGUCCAGUUCUGGAGCAGAGCUCAUUGGUAGUGUGUAUGAAGCAGCCACAAUGGUCAAGCAGGGAAUAUGUAAAUAACCACAUUGUUUUUUAUUUCCUUCUUUUUUACAAUAACCUGUUUUCUCAAAUGGCUAUUGUGAGGUUUUACAAUAGAAUCAUAGAAUGGCCUGGGUUGGAAGGGAUCUUAUAGAUCAUCUGGUUCCAAUACCUUUGCCUUGGGCAGGAUUGCCAGCCACUAAGCUGCCCAGGAACUGACCUUAAAUGUCUCCAGGGAUUGAGCAUCCUCAGCUUCUCUGGGCAGCAUGUUCCAGUGCCUCACCACCCUCUGAGUAAAAAAUUUCUUAACAUCCAACCUAAACCUCCCC